rnacentral:rRNA from 1 species
UACGUAGGGGGCAAGCGUUGUCCGGAAUUAUUGGGCGUAAAGAGCGCGUAGGCGGUCCGAUAAGUCGGCUGUGAAAGUCAGGGGCUCAACCCUUGAAAGCCGGCCGAUACUGUCGGACUAGAGUCCGGAAGAGGCAAGUGGAAUUCCCGGUGUAGCGGUGAAAUGCGCAGAUAUCAGGAGGAACACCGGUGGCGAAGGCGGUUCUCUGGGCAUGAUCUGACGCUGAGGAGCGAAAGUGUGGGGAGCGAACAGG